GGAAUAUAAGAGCCUGUCUCUUAACUUUUAACUAAAAAAGCUAAGAACCGGUUCUUAAAUAAGAGUUUUAAGAACUGGUUCUUAACUUUUUUAGUUAAAAGUUAAGAGACAGAUUCUUAUAUUCC
rfam:Brassica napus, WGS project CCCW01000000 data, contig: 10115